UACAGUUAUUUUCGAUAUUAAUAUGUCAAUUCAUAAAUUUAAUAAAUUUAUUUAAACAUUAUUUUCUCUAUUUGAACGUGCUCCUUCUUUGGAUUGAGAGACCAUCAAAUCAAAGAUUCCUUGCUUAGACUCGUGUGGAUACGAUUGGAACGACAGUGGCUAGAGUAGCGGGUGAUGGGAAGGAAGAAGAGGAAUUUGAUGGUCUAAGAUGUGUCCUGCUUGACGAGGCAAAUGACGACAUUGCCAUGCAUGAGAGUAGAGAUGAGGACAGAGCUGGAACUUUUGAUGAACACGACGAAGAUGCACAGAACGUUGCAUUGUUAGGAGAUUGAGAUUGAAGCGAAGGCGCUGCGUUUUGAGAAGAUUAAGGCUUCUGAAAGUUCAAGAUUAAAAGUUUCCACGGGUGAAAUUGCUAUACAACCUCAAGAAGGGUUACUUUUUUUGGUCAACUUCCACACUUAGCCGUGAAUCAGAUUCAAGUGAUGAAUAAAUAUUUCCUCUCUGUUAACAACCAGUAUGUGGAUUAAGAAGUCCAUCUUUGCAAAUGGGGUUUCAUCACAAAUAAUGAAAGGGCAUUAGAGGAGCCAUUUGUGGAUGAAGAGGAUAAUUAUAGCGGUGUUGCAUGUUUGAAUGUGAUAGCAAAACGAAUUGCUACAGUUUUUGCUUCUUUAAGAGGAUUAUUGUUGCGAUAUUUGUUGAUUUCCUUUAGAAAAAGGAACAGGACAAAAGCCUUUAAGGAUUAUAUUUUAUAGUGAUGAAGCGGUUUGAGAUUGUAGAGCUGGUGGAGAAUUUGAAGGCAUCAAAUAGUCAAAUAAAUUUCUUUUUGAUUGGCAGUUUGAUGUAUCAGCCUCUACAUUUUCGUUGUCUUCUAUUGGUGGUGGUGAUAUUUACACGCUGAGAGUAGACUCAUUAAAAGAACUUUUCAGAACUUAUACCAUUGAAUCGACUCAUUAAGGCUUUGGAGAAGUUUAUAUCUUCAUCUAUAUCAUCUAUUGGUUUUUCUAAAUUCUGUCUAUUGUCAAAUGAUUAUAUCCUCAAUAUCUCAUGAUUCAUGGUCACAUGCGCAUCAGUUGGUUCAUUUAUAUAUAGGAAGUCACCUAUUGAGUAAGAGAAUGAGUGUCAUUGCAAAUUAAUAUUUGUUUUGUUAAAUAACAAAAAGUUGUUGUUUGUGACUGACAUGCAUUCGGUAUUUUGGUUCUUUUUCCAAUCCUUUUUUCUUAACUUAACGUUUAUUUCUGGUCAAUUUGAUUUUUAGGACUUCAUUUAGUAUGACUUUUGUUAGAUGUUAAGUUGAGUCACUACAAGAAUGAUUGAAAUUACCGACGGUCAUAAUUCCUCGGUAAUGUAUAAAAUCCGUCGGUAAUUAACAUUUACCGAUGGCUUACCGACGGCCAAAAUACCGUUGGUAAAAACGUUGUUGGUAAACUUUACCGACGGAUUUUUGGCCGUCGGUAAUUACCGAAGGCUUUUGGCCGUCGGUAAAUCCGUUGGUAAAUGUCGCGACCUGGUUCAUCUUUUACCUCUUCCUUCGUCGCUGUGUAAAUUUUGUUUUCCAUUUCCACGAACUCCACCACCAAAACGGCAUCACGCGAGUAACAAACUAGUUUCCAAAGUAUCAAACAACCAAUUUAUUUUCAAUAGUUAAAAUUAUAGUGAAUCAUGGAGAGUUUUUCUGCAAUUCUCAGAUUUGUAAGAUAAAUGUUUCUAAUCGUUUCAAUGUGGUGGAAAGAACGGUGGUAGAGGGCAGCGGUGGUGGAGAGAACGAUGGUAGAGGACAGCGGUGGUGGAGGGAAGCGGUGGUGGAGGGCAGCGGCGGGAGGGCAGCGGCGGGAGGGUAGUGACGGUGGAGAGCAACGAUGAUGGAGAGUAGCGGUGGAAAGCAGCGGUGGUGGAGAGCAGCGGUGGUGGAGGGCAACGGUGGUGGAGGACAGCGGCAGUGGAGGGCAGUGACGGUGGAGAGCAGGUGGAGAUUUCUUUACUGAUUGAAAUGAGAGGAGAAAUACUUCGUUUACCCACAUAUAUUGGCACUGGAUGCGAACUGGUUUCGAAAAAUUCUGAUUUUUUACCGACGGCCAAAAGCCUUCGGUAAUGUCAUCCACGAAAUAAUGGGCGGGAAAAAUCCCGCUCUUUUUACCGACGGCCAAAAGCCUUCGGUAAAUCCGUCGGUAAUGCACAUAAAAAUACCGUCGGUAAUUCCGUCGGAAAUUAAGAUAUAUUGACGGAUAUUGAUCCGUCGGUAAUAUUAAUAUUUUUUGUAGUGUGUGUUUCUGUUAAUUGGGCUUAGCCCAUUCUGUAUUUAGGGUUUAACCCUUAUCUAACUCGUUCCCUUAAUUGUGUUAUUUCUUUUACCAAAGAUUCUGUUUGGUUGCAGGACCGGAGUUCGAAACACAUGAUUGGCACAGGAUGUGAGUCUCAUGGCCUAUAUCAUCUCAGCCCUUCUCCACAUGUUGGCGUAAUCAUGGAGUCACCAUCCCUUCUUCAUGCUCAAUUAGGUCAUCCCAGUCUUACCAAACUGCACACUACAAUAAAAGUACGUAUUAGCGAAGGCUUAUUACCGACGGCCUUCAUGCCUUCGGUAAUGUAUUAGUAAAAUUGAAUAGCGAGGGGCUUUUGCCCUACGGUAAUGCCUCCGAUGUUUUAAGUUCAAAAUUUGAGUACAUGUUGCUCAAAUUCCCCAAAUUUCCCAAAAGCAGAACUCUAUCCCUUAUUCGUCGAACUCACUCUUGACUUAGGGUUGCAUCUUUGGUGGCAGUCAUCUGGUUCGACGCUGUGGUUUGACGGCACGAGUUUGGUGGUGUGGACGCUGACGGAGGUUUGUUGCUGGGUGGCGCUCUUCCAUUCCCUACUCUCUGUUUGAAGCGGUUCGUUGGUUUGAAGCUUGAGGUUGUCGCCCUAAGGCAGUUUGAAGCGGUUGCUGUUGUGGACGCUAACGGCGAUUCGUUGGUGGCUGGUUUGCGGCUAGGGUUUGUGUUUUGGUCCUUGUGAGUGUUGCGAUAGUGGUGGGGGUUGUUGAGGGUUGGCGUGUUGAGGGCUUUGCAGUGAAGUGGUGUUGGUUUGGCGACUUGGUUUGGGAUUGGGUCGUGGAUGUUGUUGUCGGAGAUGUCAAGGCGGAGAAGGAGGCAGAGGGAGGAUAUCUGCUACGAAAUCUCGCUAAAGAAGUUAUUGUGGGAAAGAUAGAGGAGUUCGAGCGAUUUUCGUGGAGGUCAAGGAAGCGGAGGUACACUAGUGGGGAGAGAUAAUCAAUUGGACCACAGAGGUUGAGGGAAGGGAGGAAGAGGCCCACCAUUCUGUCUUUUGGGUUCCCUUCUCAUUUGUCUCCCUUUAUGGAUUCAUUCGAAGCUUUGAAUGAUUUGUUUCGCUCGUAUUUUUUUUUUGUUUGGAUGCUUUUUUAUGCUUAUUUCUCAUUUAAAGCUCAAAUUUUUAUAUAAUUGAUGUACUUGUGGCUGGUUUACAUAAGUAGGUUACAGCAUUCGGAGGCAGUUCGCCUUUGUGGAUUGCGACGUUCUUUGUUCCCUUUGGAUGAUAGUUUUUGGAUUUUUCAUGGAUGUUUAUUUCUUAGAAGAUUAUGUGGGAUUCGUUCUCGUGUUUUCCUCUGUUAUUUGAUAUCUUGAUUUUGUUUGGUAUUUUUUUUUUCUUCUCUUUUUAAUUCUUGGAUGACAUUUGGUUGGAGUUUUCUGUAUUCCACUGCUUUGAGGAAAUUUAUACAACCUCGUUGUAGCUAAAUGUUUCAAGGUCAUAUGUUCCCUGUCUAUACAAUUUUAACCCAUUCUGAUUAAAGGUAACUUAUUCUGCUUCUAUGAUGGAAGUUUAGUUCCUUUCUGGUGACAUUACCACUCUUGUGUCACUGGAUGAAUACUUUCUUGCAAAGUAUUCUUGAAUUUGUUAUUCCUUAAGAAGAUUUGUGUGUUACGGUGGGCCUAAUAUGCUGUUGUAUGUUAUGUUAAUUUAGGGUUUUUGGUUUUGUAGUUUUAAUUGAGCUUUGUGCAUUUGUUGAUUCUUUGGGUUAUGCUCUUAGUUUUAACGCUUACUUUUUCAUGGGUUAAUUGGUUUAAGUUUAUCUUUUCCAGGUUAUGCUAUCGAUUCUCUGUUGGGGUAUGCACACAUCUGGGUUGCAUUCCCUUGCCAAAUGUUGGUUACUUUGGCGGAUGGUUUUGUCCAUGCCAUGGUUCCCAUUACAAUAUUUCUGGCAGAAUUAGGAAGGGACCGACACUCUACAAUCUAGAGGUGAUUUCUCCUAAAAGUGUAAGCAAUGUUGUUCUUGAUGCACCAGAGGCAGUGUUGUUGCAAUUGCUUUGUCAAAUUGUUCAAGAUGUUGCAAUUUGGCUGCAAGGAAGGGAUGAAACACUUGUUUAGUAAAAGGAUGGGAAGGAUUUAACAAGUCUUCAACUACUUUCCAAAAUACCACAGAUUUUUCAGAGCCCGAAUCAGUUAGGUCUUUUUGAAGAGAAUCUUCAGUUGUUUUCUUAUUUAGAAGUAGAUUUUAAAUGUUUUUCCUAUGUACUGAAGUGUAAGAAGUUGUAGUGUUGUAAUUUUGUGGCAACAAGUAUCUUAUGUAAAACACUACAAGUUGUAGUGUUGUGGCAGCAAGUAUCUUAUGUAUAACACUACAAAUAUAUUAUGCAAUAUCAUUUGAUAUCUCGUUUUCAA